GUAUGUUGCAAAGAACAAAAAGUUCAAUUGAUAAAAGUGAUUAUUGGUUCUUUCGCUGUUUCAGGGAAUGUUGAGUUUAAUAUUGUUGACAAGCAGAUUAAGCUGUCAGGAUCGCACUCGGUCUUUGGAAGGGCUAUUGUUGUGCAUGCUGAUCCUGAUGAUCUUGGAAGGGGAAAAUUAACACUAUUGAUUAAUUCGCAUUAAUCAUUAAUUUAUUGCUAUAUAUUGAGUAAGUUAUGUACGAAGCUGGUAAGGGAUGACAUUUAGAAGUGGUCAUGCUUAUAACAAGGGCUGGUUGCGAAUAAACCUCCUGUAAUGUCACCUAACUGCAGAUAGAUCCCCUUUAGCUCUAUUGGUGUUGAUAGACUCCCUGUGCUAUUGGCCAAAGUACGGUAGACAUGAGCUGAGAAAAGAAACAGGAAAUGCAGGAUAAAGAAUUGCAUGUGGCAUCAUAGGGCUCCAGGGUUGAAGGGUGUUGAUUCUGGAUUUUACCACAGCAUCCUGUGUAUUAAUCUGCGUAGCGUAUGUUUCUGCGUAGCGUAUGCUUGGGCAUUGGCACAAGUAGCACAA